CCUACUUUUCUUGUAUUAUUAUUCCUGGUUUCAGCAGCCCGACUCCCCGGGAGCAGAGGAGGAGUGCUGGUGGUGUGUUUGUGGAGGAUAUACAGCCAGGACUGGGUUGGCCUCAAAGUAAGCAAUCAAAUUACAUGAUUGCUGGAGAGCAGGGAGAGAAAGAAUGCUUGGAGCAAGACAAAAGGAAAACUACUUCUUAAGAAACCAGAGGACAACAUCUUUAGCUAACCACAACUGCAGAACAGCCAUUGAUUUAGGUUCUGCACAGGAGCAACUGUGGCUGCUUGCUGUUUAUCAUCCUGUGAGGGACUGAUGUCUGUUGCCCUGAGCUACAGAAAAAGGCCAAUGAGAAUUAAUUUGACAUCAAAAGAAGAAGAGCCAAGCCAUAUAAGCCUUCAUCAAAGGAGUAAAGCAGACGUGUAAUUGGGUGCUCAGAGUGAGUUAGGAUUCUGCUCACUCACCACAAGGCUGCAGAGGACGGAUCUGCUCAUGUACCCAGCCCUGGAGCGACCAGCACGGGGGGCUCCUACCUGCACCCCUCUCAUUUCCUUACUGCUCCCCACACAAAAGCAAUACAGCCCUUGCAGUGACUUCCCUGAGGUUCCUUAUCAGUGGGAAUAAUUAGUGUGAACACUAAAAGCCCCUCAGUGGGAAUAAAGGGUCAGCCCCACAUCCCCCAGCACAGAGCAGGAGCUCAUUAUCUUGCAUGAAUUCUUCAUAAAUUGUAGAAGCGUAUUCAGCAUAUGGCCUUGUUCUGCUUUUCUCCCCAAACAGAGAGCAAAAAAACAUAUAUUUUUGUUGAUAAUUUCCUCAUAUAAAUUUGAUUGGAAGUAAGAACAUUUUUUAAAUGGACUGUGCAUUCUGCAUCUGUGUUUCAUACGUUAAAGAGAAAACUCAAUCAUCUCAGUGCAAUUGUUUUAUUUACACCAGUUUAACCAGAAAAUAAAUGGCUACAGUAAUCUUC